CGGCCUCCACAGGGCUCUCGGAGGCAGACGUGGAUCAAGCUACAAGUGCCGGCCGGCACAGAAAGGAAGCUAGUUCUUCAGUGGUGACAUCAAUGUCCCCUCCAAAAUCAAAUGCUCAGUAGAGUUUGCUGCAACGUUCUUUGCAAUUGCCCUUGAAGUGGUUUUGAUCCUCCGGAUCCCCAUAGAGAUGGAGGUCGGAGCCCUCUGGUCAUUCUUCCUGAACAUUUCUCCUCGUCCAGGAGUACGGACCAGAAUUCUUUUGGGGGCGUCUGCUGCUCCUCUCCCUGUGUGCACAAAAGGCUCCAGUGGCUGCCGUUACUCCAGGGUGUUGCGUCUGUGACAAGGGGCUCUGCUGUCAUGAGGGACCCCACUCCAGGCUGGGGGGGGGGUGGCAUUGUAUGAGGUCCCAAGGAGACAAGGUGUGUGCACUGAGAGGUGCCUGCCUGGUCCUGCAGGAAUGUCCUUGUUACAACUGCCUGUCAGCUCUGGGGCCUGGCUUCUUCCGACACCACCUGGGGGCAUUCAUCGGACUUCUCCAGGCCUCAAUUUCCUUCUUUGUGAAAUGAAAGCUGAGUCAUAAAUCUGUUCCCAAG